rnacentral:misc_RNA from 1 species
UAGUAUAAUACCUCACAAUAGGGAGCUCGUUCUUGCUAGUUUGAGUUGCCGCAUCGGCUGGCUCGCCGCGCUCUCUUCUCGCCCACUUGUUGUUCGGCGAGUGUGUACGUGCUUCCGUUGGCUGCGCCGACGUGAUUUACUGCCGUCAUCUGUCAACGUCGCAAGACCGCCGUACCGAUCUUUUCAGACUGCCAGGGGGACUCCAGAGCGGAAAAGCAAAAAUUAAAGCAUAUACGCACGCACACACGAAAGCCCCUUGAAGAACAUCAAAAUGGAUGAGGCGUACUCCCCAGAGAACAUGGAGUACGAGUACGAGGAUGAAGAGCUUGUGAGCUGGAUUACGUGGUUCUGCGACUUGAAGGGCAACGAGUUCUUCUGCAUGGUCGACCGUGAGUUCAUCACAGACGAUUUCAACUUAACUGGAUUGGCUCCCAUAGUGCCAUUUUACCACUACGCAUUAGAACUGAUCCUCGACGUGGAGUCGAUGGAGAGCGACGGCCUUACCGAGCAGCAGAAGCGUCUCGUCGAGAGUUCCGCGGAGAUCCUCUACGGUCUUAUUCACGCCCGCUUUAUCACCACCGGCCGCGGCCUCAAGCUGAUGGAGGAAAAAUAUAUGCAGGGCGAGUUUGGUAGCUGUCCCCGCGUCUUCUGCGAGGGUCAUGCGCUGCUCCCGGUGGGCCAGAGCGACGUGGUGCGUGAGAGCUCCGUGAAGCUCUUUUGUCCACGCUGCGAGGACAUUUACCACCCUCGCUCCGUCCGCCACCGUAGCCUCGACGGCGCCUUCUGGGGCACCACGUUCCCUCACCUGCUGCUCAUGCAGCUACGCGAGCGCGGCGUGUCGAUCCCGCCGCCGAACCAGCAGUACGUGCCGAAGGUGUACGGCUUCCGCGUUCGCAAGCCAGGCACGCCCCUCAUCACGAACGGCGCGGGCGAAGAGGAGACCGGGGCCGCCUCCGCAGGCGCAGGGGAUGUGUCACACAAAGCCGAGGCCGGGCUUCACCACAAAGAAGAAGAGGGCGCCGUCGCAGGGUCGAACGUUUUGGAUCAGCGGCUGCCCGCAGAAUCCUCAAGUUCUAGCUCAAAAGGAAAGGCGGAGUAGGCGGGCACUCGAAACACAAUAGAUGAGGAGGGGAAGGAGGAUACGCACACACGCAAACAUACAAAGUGUGCCAUGGCAACGACGUCUGUACCGACGUGCUGCCCGUUCCCCGCGUCGGCAGAUGCUGAACACCAAAACGCAUGGCCCUCCCUUAACCUCUUCGUCUUUCCACAAUACAACGCUUGGUAGAUGGGUGAAAGGUCGACUGCUGCGUUGCAGAGGUGCAUCGCUUGUGCGUUGCGCUCGUUUCCUCGCCGACCGAGAGUGUAGCCCCUCGAUGCUGACAUCCCUCCUCUUUGUGUGGCGGCAGAAGCCCUCUCUCACCACCAUGUCCCAGGCUUGCUCCCCCCCUGUCUUUGAGUUGAGGCUCAGCGGUGAUGGGUGGCGUUGUUUAUGUGUGUGUUUGUGUGUGUGGCAGAUGCAUGCGGCAUACGAGCUUACACGCGGACAGAGAAGGGCCUCUGGCAGACGCGUAGAUCCAUGCUGAAUCUCCUGCUGGGCACUCUGACCUUUUUUCUUUUUUUUUUUGUUUGUGGAUGUUUUGCUUUUUGUUGAGGUGCGGAGCGUGUGUGUGCGUGUGUGUGUGUGGGGGGGGUUCUUGUCUUUUGCUCCGGCCGGGCUUCCUUGAACAAACAAAAAUGAACAUGAACAGCUACCUCAUGGAGACUUCCUGUACUCGCUCUCUUUGCGUCCUCGACGACAGAAGGAGGGCCCAUCGUCGUCUGAUACCGGGACACAUGUAUAUGUAUAUGCGUGUAUGUCCCUUCCCUCUUGUAUUUUCGAGUAUGCACUGCUCAUACGUCGGUGGUGUGGGAUGUGUGCUUGUUUUUUCUUCGUGUCCGUGUUGGGAAGGGACUGUUUUUCUACCGGUGCUUUUUUUUUGCGUGUCGUAGCUCAAGAUCCCUCUCUCAGUGACCAUGCAGCAGCGUGUCUCCUAUGUGCGGAGGAGCUGCGCCAUCUCUGCACGUGAGUCUAAGCGGCGGCGCGUAUCAGCGAAUCACGCCUUCAAGG